rnacentral:lncRNA from 1 species
AUGAAAGUCGACAAGAAAGGAUUCAAGGAGAAUUUCGACAAGAGUGAAAGAAAAGAAAAACAAGACUAAAAAGGGAGAUCAGAGAAUUUCGGCAAUGUGCAAGGUGACACAAAAAAAUCAGAAUUUGGAAUUGGAGAGAGAAAAAAAAAUUCCAAAAAGAGAGAAAAAAAGAAAAUCUAAACUAAAUCAGAUAACCACUCAAUCCCUCAAUCUGCUCCCACACUCUCCCACUACAACUCAAACACCCGAAAACCGUCCACCACUCUCUCUCCCUAUCCAAAAUCCCUUAAUUUUCUCUCCUCACUUCCCACCACACC